GGUCUGCCUAACUCUGGGCCC
rnacentral:miRNA from 1 species